rnacentral:rRNA from 1 species
GAUGAACGCUGGCGGCGUGCCUAAUACAUGCAAGUCGAGCGCGAGAAUGAGGAGCUUGCUCCUCAUAAUCGAGCGGCGGACGGGUGAGUAACACGUAGGCAACCUACCCUUGAAAUUGGGAUAACUACCGGAAACGGUAGCUAAUACCGGAUAAGACUUUUCCACACAAGUGGAAUUGUUAAAAGGCGGAUUUAUCGGCCGCUCAUGGAUGGGCCUGCGGUGCAUUAGCUAGUUGGUGAGGUAGUGGCUCACCAAGGCGACGAUGCAUAGCCGACCUGAGAGGGUGAUCGGCCACACUGGGACUGAGACACGGCCCAGACUCCUACGGGAGGCAGCAGUAGGGAAUCUUCCGCAAUGGACGCAAGUCUGACGGAGCAACGCCGCGUGAGUGAUGAAGGGUUUCGGCUCGUAAAACUCUGUUGUUAAGGAAGAACACUUGAGGUAGUAACUGGCCUUGAGAUGACGGUACUUAACCAGAAAGCCACGGCUAACUACGUGCCAGCCGCCGCUGUAA